UACGUAGGUGGCAAGCGUUGUCCGGAUUUACUGGGCGUAAAGAGCGCGCAGGCGGAUUGCUAAGUCGGGGGUGAAAUCCCGGGGCUCAACCUCGGAAUUGCCUUCGAUACUGUCUGUCUUGAGUCCGGGAGAGGUGAGUGGAAUUCCUAGUGUAGAGGUGAAAUUCGUAGAUAUUAGGAAGAACACCAGUGGCGAAGGCGGCUCACUGGCCCGGUACUGACGCUCAUGUGCGAAAGCGUGGGGAGCAAACAGG
rnacentral:rRNA from 1 species